CAUGUUUCAAGAACUGGUCCCAUAUGGGUCAGUAACAAGAGGUACAGCAACAGACUUCUCCAGCAUGUGCUCCCCAGAGGCAGAAGACUCACCAGAUUAUCUGCUCCUGUGUUGAAGAUCCUUCUGUUGCUCUAACUUAUAAGUUAGACUAACAAGUAUAUUGCCUCUUUGUUGUAACACACUCACCCUACAGUGACCCAUACUGAACCCUCUGCAAUGGAAGAAGGCUCAGUGGAGAUAGCCAAAGGCUCAUGAAGACUUAGGAAUGACUGACCAGUGUUGCAAAGAAAGCUGAAUUUAUCUCACCACAAAGGAGAUCGAGGGGUAGCCUUUGUUCUAGAUAAAUAGUUGUAUCAGAUGAGUGAAUCAACUGCUUAUAUUAACUGAGUGAAUCAAUCAAGUGAAUAACUGGCCAUGAGUUAAUCAGAAGACUGCCAACAUAUCUAACUUAGCCAUAUCCUUAUGGGUUAUGUAUGUGCAGCUCAGCCCAACAGCGUAUAAGAAAACAAAUAGCAAACAGAAAGAACUCCAAACACAACAACAGGCUUGAGCUGCUUUCAACCCAGGUAUUUCUUCCCAGUAACUGGGGAUGCCUAACAAUGUGACAGUGAGCAUAUUAUACAGACCAGUAAUAAAAUUCACAUUUGUACUGUGAUUCAAUUGUAUAUUGAAAUUGGUACACUCUGCAAAGCAUGUUUGUAAACCUAUUAUAAUUUAGGUACAUCUAUCACU